AACUCCGGAGAAUUCCAUUUAAUGGAUGCCGAAGGUGCAAAGGGUUAUCCCCCAAUCUCUCAGGCAAAAGGACGGAGGUA
rnacentral:ncRNA from 1 species